GGAAUAUUGGACAAUGGGGGGAACCCUGAUCCAGCGACGCCGCGUGAGUGAAGAAGUAUCUCGGUAUGUAAAGCUCUAUCAGCAGGGAAGAAAGAAAUGACGGUACCUGACCAAGAAGCCUCGGCUAACCACGCGCCAGAAGCCGCGGUAAUACGUAGGGGGCAAGCGUUAUCCGGAAUCACUGGGUGUAAAGGGAGCGUAGACGGCUGUGCAAGCCUGAAGUGAAAGGCGGGGGCCCAACCCCUGGACUGCUUUGGGAACUGUACGGCUGGAGUGCAGGAGAGGUAAGUGGAAUUCCUAGUGUAGCGGUGAAAUGCGUAGAUAUUAGGAGGAACACCAGUGGCGAAGGCGGCUUACUGGACUGUAACUGACGUUGAGGCUCGAAAGCGUGGGGAGCAAAC
rnacentral:rRNA from 1 species